ACAAGCGGUGGAUGAUGUGGUUAAUUCGAUGCAACGCGAAAACCUUACCCACCUUUGACAUGGCAGGAAUCCCGAAGAGAUUGGGAGUGCUCGAAAGAGAACCUGCACACAGGUGCUGCAUGGCUGUCGUCAGCUCGUGUCGUGAGAUGUUGGGUUAAGUCCCGCAACGAGCGCAACCCUUGCCAUUAGUUGCUACGAAAGGGCACUCUAAUGGGACUGCCGGUGACAAACCGGAGGAAGGUGGGGAUGACGUCAAGUCCUCAUGGCCCUUAUAGGUGGGGCUACACACGUCAUACAAUGGCCGGUACAGAGGGUAGCCAACCCGCGAGGGGGAGCCAAUCCCACAAAGCCGGUCGUAGUCCGGAUCGCAGUCUGCAACUCGACUGCGUGAAGUCGGAAUCGCUAGUAAUCGCGGAUCAGCACGCCGCGGUGAAUACGUUCCCGGGCCUU
rnacentral:rRNA from 1 species